rnacentral:sRNA from 12 species
CGCCGGAAGCACCAAGUGGCGAAGACACAUUUAUAAUGGUGCUGACGAAAUGCCGCAGAAUGAAUAUGAGGUGGCGAUACCAAAC